AAUCAACGCUGGCGGCGCGCUUAACACAUGCAAGUCGAACGAGAGAGGGGGAGCAAUCCCCGAGUAAAGUGGCGCACGGGUGAGUAACACGUGGGUAAUCUACCUCUGGGUGGGGAAUAACUCUGGGAAACCGGAGCUAAUACCGCAUAAGCUCGAAAGAGGAAAGGCGAAAGUCGCCGGGAGAGGAGCCCGCGGUCGAUUAGCUAGUUGGUGAGGUAAGAGCUCACCAAGGCUGAGAUCGAUAGCCGGCCUGAGAGGGCACACGGCCACACUGGCACUGAAACACGGGCCAGACUCCUACGGGAGGCAGCAGUGGGGAAUCUUGCACAAUGGGGGAAACCCUGAUGCAGCGACGCCGCGUGAGUGAUGAAGCCCUUCGGGU
rnacentral:rRNA from 1 species